rnacentral:rRNA from 1 species
UAAUACAUCGGAACGUGUCUUCUAGUGGGGGAUAACUGCCCGAAAGGGCAGCUAAUACCGCAUGAGACCUGAGGGUGAAAGCGGGGGAGUCGCAAGACCUCGCGCUGGAAGAGCGGCCGAUGUCCGAUUAGCUAGUUGGUGAGGUAAAGGCUCACCAAGGCGACGAUCGGUAGCUGGUCUGAGAGGACGACCAGCCACACUGGGACUGAGACACGGCCCAG